CCUACGGGAGGCAGCAGUGAGGAAUAUUGGUCAAUGGGCGCGAGCCUGAACCAGCCAAGUCGCGUGAAGGAUGACGGUCUUACGGUUUGUAAACUUCUUUUAUAGGGGAGCAAAGUCAGGCACGUGUGCCUCUUUGUAUUUACUUUACGUACAAGGCACGGCUAACCCCGGUCCAGCAGCCGCGGUAAUAUGGAGGGUAGGAGCGUUUCUCGGAUUUAAUGGGUUUAAAGGGAGCGUAGAUGGGUUGUUAAGUCAGGUGUGAAAGUGUUGGGCUCAACCGUAAAAUUGCAAUUGAAACUGGCAAUCUUGAGUGGGGUAGAGGUAAGCGGAAUUCGUGGUGUAGCGGUGAAAUGCGUAGAUAUCACGAAGAACUCCGAUUGCGAAGGCAGCUUACU
rnacentral:rRNA from 1 species